rnacentral:sRNA from 1 species
GUUAACAUACAACGAUAUAACGCAUCACUCGUAACAUAUACGAGGGAAAGAAAUCUGUAAGUAGGAUUACUAAGAUUCUAACCUGCAAGUCAAGUAGAGACAAGAAGACUGUACAAGUUCAGCUCUGCAUCCUUUGGUGAAGUUUUGGUCCAUUGCCGCCUUCAGAAACUAAGACGGUGUAAGAAUCUUGACUGAUUGAUUAAUACUGAGACGAUAUGUAAAAAAAUUA